UUUGAUAUGUGUAUUUGAAAUUUGCAUGUAAUAUGAUUUAUUUGUAAAAACUGAAUUUGUUGGUGAAUCUCCCCUUCAUAUAUUAUAUAGAUUUGUUUCAAUUAUUUGUUAAGUUUAUUUUUUGGUAAACCAUUUUGUUUUGGGUGUCACCCUAAUAAUUUUUAUAAGGAUGGUCCUAAACCGCGAAUCAUCUGUUAUGAUAUAUCGAACAUAUGGAUUGUUGUGUUUACAAG
rnacentral:lncRNA from 1 species